GGGCCGGGCGGCAUGCUAUACAUGCAGUCGAGCGGACAGAAGGGAGCUUGCUCCCGGAUGUUAGCGGCGGACGGGUGAGUAACACGUGGGUAACCUGCCUGUAAGACUGGGAUAACUCCGGGAAACCGGAGCUAAUACCGGAUAGUUCCUUGAACCGCAUGGUUCAAGGAUGAAAGACGGUUUCGGCUGUCACUUACAGAUGGACCCGCGGCGCAUUAGCUAGUUGGUGAGGUAACGGCUCACCAAGGCGACGAUGCGUAGCCGACCUGAGAGGGUGAUCGGCCACACUGGGACUGAGACACGGCCCAGACUCCUACGGGAGGCAGCAGUAGGGAAUCUUCCGCAAUGGACGAAAGUCUGACGGAGCAACGCCGCGUGAGUGAUGAAGGUUUUCGGAUCGUAAAGCUCUGUUGUUAGGGAAGAACAAGUGCAAGAGUAACUGCUUGCACCUUGACGGUACCUAACCAGAAAGCCACGGCUAACUACGUGCCAGCAGCCGCGGUAAUACGUAGGUGGCAAGCGUUGUCCGGAAUUAUUGGGCGUAAAGGGCUCGCAGGCGGUUUCUUAAGUCUGAUGUGAAAGCCCCCGGCUCAACCGGGGAGGGUCAUUGGAAACUGGGAAACUUGAGUGCAGAAGAGGAGAGUGGAAUUCCACGUGUAGCGGUGAAAUGCGUAGAGAUGUGGAGGAACACCAGUGGCGAAGGCGACUCUCUGGUCUGUAACUGACGCUGAGGAGCGAAAGCGUGGGGAGCGAACAGGAUUAGAUACCCUGGUAGUCCACGCCGUAAACGAUGAGUGCUAAGUGUUAGGGGGUUUCCGCCCCUUAGUGCUGCAGCUAACGCAUUAAGCACUCCGCCUGGGGAGUACGGUCGCAAGACUGAAACUCAAAGGAAUUGACGGGGGCCCGCACAAGCGGUGGAGCAUGUGGUUUAAUUCGAAGCAACGCGGAGAACCUUACCAGGUCUUGACAUCCUCUGACAACCCUAGAGAUAGGGCUUUUCCCUUUCGGGGACAGAGUGACAGGUGGUGCAUGGAUGUCGGUCAGCUCGUGUCGUGAGAUGUUGGGGUAGUCCCGCAACGAGCGCAACCCAUUGAAUCUAGUGCUAGCAUUCAGUUGGGCCACUCUAAGGUGACUGCCGGUGGAACAACCGAGA
rnacentral:rRNA from 1 species